CACAGAUAAGGUGGAAAGACUGGAGACACACACGCAAAGAGCCCUUCAUACAAGAUGGACAGAGACAGAGAAAUGAAAAAAAUCAUCAAACACUUUUUUGUUAAAAGAUCCUUAAUCUGGCUGCUUCUGGUUCUCCUCCAAGUAUCCUACUCAGAUCAACUUUGUACCCCUCCCAUAUCAGUGGAAUUCAAAGAAAACAACAAUAUUGGUGAUGUUGUAGCAACAAUCAGUACUGAAACUGGGGUGGAAGUUUCUCUUGUCAACACUGAACUACCAUUUAGGAUUGAAGUAAACCAGCUGAUAGCUACGCAACAACUGGACCGGGAGGUGAAAGAUAACUAUGCAGUUGAAAUAAAAUGUAAAAAAGAGCUUCAAGAACGGGUGAGAC